rnacentral:rRNA from 2 species
AAGUGUGGUUAUACCAGCACUAACGCACAAGUUCCCAUAAGAACUCCGCAGUUAGCCAUUCUUGGGUGAGAUUAGAACUAGGAUGGGUAACCUUCUAGGAAGUCCUUGUGUUGCACCUC